AUAAAGUCGUCCUGGGAAGGUCAAUGCUAUUGCAAUUGCAGGUUGCAUAGUACAAGAGUAUAAAAAUGGAAUCGGCCCUCCGUAGGGCAUCAUUCACCCCUGUGAACGAGACACACCCAGCAACAUGUACAAACUGUUAUCUUUCCUCGUGAUCCUGGCAGUUGCGCUCGCCGCGCCCGCGCCGGAGCCCGGGGCGGCCAUCUUGACUCCCGCCGUGUACCGAGCCCCGUUGACGUACGCUCCAGCACUGGGCUAUGCGGCCCUCCCCGCCGCGGGCUUGCCUCUCCAAUACAGCGCCCCUUACCUCGCGUCCUACCCUGCAGCACCCAUCGCCUACAGCAAGUACUACUAGGCUGGACGAGUAAGCAGGUUCUCAAGUAUUGGCAGUGAUCCGUUUGGUACCUAAGUAAUGCGCAAUAAAAUCGUUCCGCCUA